rnacentral:lncRNA from 1 species
UUGGCUGAAUUUUUUUGGUGAGGUUAAAGAAAUGGGGGAAAUAAGGAUACACUACACAGAUGACUCGUUAGACACAUGUUACUUUAUUGAAAGGGAAAACAAGCAACUAAAACAUAAAACAUACUAAAAUUAAAGAAAAAUGGUAAAAAGCGAUAAAAGUAAAGAAAAGCGAUAAAAAACAAUAAAAAUAAAGGAAAGAUGAAAAGCGAUAAAAUCUCCUCCCACACUUAAAUCGAACAUUGUCCUCAAUGUUUCGAU